rnacentral:rRNA from 1 species
ACGGGUGAGUAACGCGUGGGAACGUACCCUUUUCUACGGAAUAGCCUCGGGAAACUGAGAGUAAUACCUUAUACGCCCUUCGGGGGAAAGAUUUAUCGGAGAAGGAUCGGCCCGCGUUGGAUUAGGUAGUUGGUGGGGUAAUGGCCUACCAAGCCGACGAUCCAUAGCUGGUUUGAGAGGAUGAUCAGCCACACUGGGACUGAGACACGGCCC